UGAAGGAUACGGAAGCAGAAAAACUGUUCCGGAUCCGGGAGGCGGAAGAAACAAAAAACAACCUGAUGCAGGUAGCCAGUGAGCAUAUUGCGCCGCUUCAGGAUGCUGCAGAUCUGGAAAUUGCAACGGAGGAAGAAACCUC
rnacentral:sRNA from 1 species